CGCAUGUACAGGUUCAUUCACUUCCGGAUGUAUGGUGGAUUCGAGAUUCGGUGGCAAUGCAUGCUACUGUCCUCAGAAAAGGAGAAAACAUAAAAAUAGAACAAUGCAUCUCAUGCUGUGAUAAAUAUCACUGCCCAUUUUGUGAAACCUGGGUCUACAAACCAGUGGACUUGUACAGUGUCAAGAAACAUGUGGAGGAUCAUCUGAAAACAGCUGUUCAUGAAGAAGAUGCCACUGGAGAUCCUCGGGCAGAUCCUGUUGAGAGUGGUCUCAGACGACGGAGACAUGGCCUUUAUGAGACUUUCUCUCACGUGCAAGCUUUUUAGGGACAUUGCCAGUGAGACAAAAUUCAAAGAAGAGCCACUUCAUGUGGCUAGACAGUGUCGUGAACUGGAGUGCAUUUUCUGCACGAUACAGAGAGAAGUUCCGGGUGCCAUAUUCACUGACCCAGUGCCUACGGUGCUGCGAAACAUUUAAAGACUGCCCACCUGGCUAUGGUGGGAAUGGCAGGAGGGGAGUCCUGCGUGGGUUUUAUUCCUUCAAAGACUUUGAGGGCUACUGCUCAGUUGAUUGUUUUAUUAAUGAUGGAGGUGAAUUUCAGAACGUGUAGAUGCAAUUUUUUUUUCUUUCUUAUGUGUCAUGUUUAUAGUUUUAAUC